UUACCGAGUUUACAACUCCCAAACCCCUGUGAACAUACCUAUACGUUGCCUCGGCGGAUCAGCCCGCGCCCUGUAAAAAGGGACGGCCCGCCCGAGGACCCUAAACUCUGUUUUUAGUGGAACUUCUGAGUAAAACAAACAAAUAAAUCAAAACUUUCAACAACGGAUCUCUUGGUUCUGGCAUCGAUGAAGAACGCAGCAAAAUGCGAUAAGUAAUGUGAAUUGCAGAAUUCAGUGAAUCAUCGAAUCUUUGAACGCACAUUGCGCCCGCCAGUAUUCUGGCGGGCAUGCCUGUUCGAGCGUCAUUUCAACCCUCAAGCUCAGCUUGGUGUUGGGACUCGCGGUAACCCGCGUUCCCCAAAUCGAUUGGCGGUCACGUCGAGCUUCCAUAGCGUAGUAAUCAUACACCUCGUUACUGGUAAUCGUCGCGGCCACGCCGUAAAACCCCAACUUCUGAAUGUUGACCUCGGAUCAGGUAGGAAUACCCGCUGAACUUAAGCAU
rnacentral:rRNA from 1 species